rnacentral:rRNA from 1 species
CACGUAGGGGGGCUAGCGUUGUCCGGAAUCAUUGGGCGUAAAGCGCGCGUAGGCGGCCCGGUAAGUCCGCUCUGAAAGUCCAGGGCUCAACCCUGGAAAGCGGGUGGAUACUGCCGGGCUAGAAUCCGGAAGAGGCGAGUGGAAUUCCUGGUGUAGCGGUGAAAUGCGCAGAUAUCAGGAAGAACACCUAUGGCGAAGGCAGCUCUCUGGGACGGUACUGACGCUGAGACGCGAAAGCGUGGGGAGCGAACAGG